CCUGUCCAAGAUGUGAACGCGAGAGGGCUGUGUGUUCUGACAUGGGGUCGUGCCUAGGAGCUGUGCAACGCCAGCCCUUGAGGAGGAAGCCAUCUGUUUCUGGAAUCACCCUCCCCGCCACGUAUAUGAGACAUAUCCUUGAUUGUCCGUGAAAUCAGGUGGUCCAGGGCCAGGUUGGUCCAUAGAGGGAGCAACAGGAAGACAGCCAUCUGCAAACCAGCAAGCUGACUUUCAGCAGAUGCUGCUUCUCCUGGCACCUUGAUCUUGGACUUCCUGGCCUCUAGAACUAUGAGAAAGAAAUGUUUAAGAUUUCCAGUCUGCAAACCAGCAAAUGGGCCCUCACCAGACACUGCCUGUCCUGGCACCUUGAUCUUGGACUUCUCAGCCUCCAGAAAUGUGAGAAAGAAAUGUUUUAAGUUUCCCAGUCUAUGAGAAUUUGUUAGAACAGAACAAACUGACUAAGACACUCACUAACAUGGUAUAUUACCAAUCUCUUAAAUUUUGCCAGUCUGAUAGGUGAAGUUACUCAUCUUUAUACAGCCAUUUCUUCUUCUGUGAGUCUCCUGUUCAUGUUUCAUGCGCAUUUUAAACAUCAAGUUGCUUUGCAUUUUUAUUGAUUUAUAGAAGGUCUUUAUGUAUUCUGGAAAGUAAUCCUGUAUUUUUCAUGCUUACUGCUACUCAUCCUAAUACUUUUGAGUGGAUUGGUUGGACCCUCAUUGGAUGCAGCAAGGGACAGGAAGGCAACUCAGGCAGCAAUCCAUGGCAGGCUGACCAAUAGCCAGUCACACAGGCAGAUUCACCAAGUCAGCAGAAGAAUUAGCUUUCCCUCCUUCUAGGCUUGGGAUUCUCUAACAGCAGAGAUGGCACUAAACAGGAGAUGUGGGCAAUAUUUGGUCUGUUUACCCUGUGACUACAUCAUUGGCAGAUAGAUACAACAGACCUGCAGUCCCCAAGAAUGUUUUGAAUUUUUUUUUUUUUUGAGACAGGGUCCUGCUCUGUUGCCCAGGCUGGAGUGCAGUGGUAUGAUCACGGCUCAUGCAGCCUCGACCUCCCAGGCCCAAGCAAUCCUCCCACCUCAGCCUCCUGGGUAGCUGGGACUGCAGGUGUGCACCACCACACCUGGCUAAGUUUCGUAUUUUUUUUUUUUGAG
rnacentral:lncRNA from 10 species